rnacentral:rRNA from 1 species
GAUGAACGCUGGCGGCGUGCCUAAUACAUGCAAGUCGAGCGAACAGAUGAGGAGCUUGCUCCUCUGACGUUAGCGGCGGACGGGUGAGUAACACGUGGAUAACCUACCUAUAAGACUGGGAUAACUUCGGGAAACCGGAGCUAAUACCGGAUAAUAUAUUGAACCGCAUGGUUCAAUAGUGAAAGACGGUUUUGCUGUCACUUAUAGAUGGAUCCGCGCCGCAUUAGCUAGUUGGUAAGGUAACGGCUUACCAAGGCAACGAUGCGUAGCCGACCUGAGAGGGUGAUCAGCCACACUGGAACUGAGACACGGUCCAGACUCCUACGGGAGGCAGCAGUAGGGAAUCUUCCGCAAUGGGCGAAAGCCUGACGGAGCAACGCCGCGUGAGUGAUGAAGGUCUUCGGAUCGUAAAACUCUGUUAUUAGGGAAGAACAAAUGUGUACGUAACUAUGCACGUCUUGACGGUACCUGAUCAGAAAGCCACGGCUAACUACGUG